rnacentral:tRNA from 1 species
GCGGAUAUAGAAAAAAGGUAGAUUUCAUUAGUCUUCCAAACUAAGGGUACGGGUUCGAAUCCCGUUAUCCGCU